rnacentral:rRNA from 1 species
UAACUGAAGAGUUUGAUCCUGGCUCAGAUUGAACGCUGGCGGCGUGCCUAACACAUGCAAGUCGAGCGGUAACAGGUGUAGCAAUACAUGCUGACGAGCGGCGAACGGGUGAGUAAU